GAGUAAUUGAACGUCAGUCUUAACACAGGUAAAUGAGUAAACAAACAAAUAUAUUCUAUGGUUCACAACAUUUUGUUUCUAUAGAUGCCUGAACUAAAUUGCACAGGAAAGUUCCCAGAACAUUGCAACCCAAAGGCAAACACGUGAAGUCACUCAGGGAAAGGAUGCAUAAUCAAGAACCUCAUGAUGACAUGCGAUCGACAAUGGACUGCAGAUAUGGAAUUAUACUGCCUGGAGAUGCUGUAGCUGUCUUAGUUUGUCUGAAUUGCACUAUGAUGUUUGCACAAUGAGAAAAAUCCCUUAACAAUGAAUUUCUCAGGAAGUUCACCAAUCAUUCAGGGAUACAUGACUGUGUUGUCCUCGCCGCCCCUUGUAGGUGUGCUUCACUUAAGCAAUGGAUACUCACCAAAAAUUCAGGAAUUCUGGGCUUUGUGGCACUUGUAAUUCCAGCACUCAGAAGGCUGAACCAGGAGGAUGGCUACGAGUUUGACACCAGCUUGGGCUACACAGCUCCAGCAAUGAGAAAGACAAAGGCAAAGAAAGAGAGAGAAGCCAGACCCAGGAAGGUGCCAGCCCAGCCUCAGUCUCAAGUUCCUGUUCCAGGUGCCAACUGUAGCUGACCCAUCCUUGACAGCCUUGUUCCAGGACGCAGACCAGUACUUUGUUCUCCCUGACCCAGGUGCGAAUGAGGAUGAAUGAUAGAGAUGGAGUCCAUUUAACAUGUGGGCAGCCAGGGGCUCUUGCCUCUUAGUAAGCAGAGGAGCCCCCUGAUCAAAGUAACACAAGAGUCAUCUGCUUUCCAAUACCCAUCAGGACAUCUCAGAGUGAACUUCUUUUCCACCUUCAGUAAAUGUGUGUGCCGCAACCUUUUCUCUGCAUCCUGUGCAGUCCUUUGUUCAGGACGCUAUGCACCUGGAAGGAAUUCCCCCUGGCCCCACCAGCCAGUGACAAAGUGAGAACAUUUCCUAAGAGUUCUCCAUGGUGUUUUUAUUAUAUUAAAAGAGUAAUAUGUGCUCAUUUUAUGGUUUUUUUCCUUUCUUUUUGGGGGGAAUGGAACCCAGGGCCUCCAGAAGGCCAUUCAAGUGCUCUACUACCGAUCUAAAUCCCCAGCUUUCAUUUAACAAAAUUUGGAAAAGAAUACAGAAACAUAAAAAAGAAAAUAAAAAUUAUUCGAUUCCUAUUACUUGGAGAUGACUUUGAG
rnacentral:lncRNA from 1 species